rnacentral:lncRNA from 1 species
CCAAAGAAAUCUGUCUCUGCCUGGUUUAGCUAUCAGGAUGAUACUAGAUUCAUCUAUGGGUAAAAAAACUGUGAUUGAUAUAUAUAUAUAUAGUGAAUAGGGUAGUUUUGCUAUUUGUCUUUCAGAGGAUUCAUCACUGAUGUAUAGAAAUGUAUUUGAUUUAUGGGCAUUAAUUUUAUAUCCUGCUACUUUGCCAAAUUCAUUUAUUAUUCUAGAAGUUUUCUGGUGGAGUUUUUUGGAUCCUCCAAGUGUAAAAUUAUGUCGUUGGCAAAGAAUGAUAAUUUGGGUUCUUCUUUUCCUAUUUGUAUUCCCUUGAAUUUCUUUCAUCUAAUUGCUCUGGCUAGAGUGGCAAGGAUUAUGUUGAACAAUUUUUAGAUGGAAUGCUUCCAAUUUUUCUUCAUUUAGAAUGAUGUUAGCCUUAGGUUUAGCAAAGAGAGCUUUUACUAUGUUGAGGUAUAUUCCUACUAUCCCUAGUUUUUCUAAUAUUUUGAACAUGAAAAGGUACUGUAUUUUGUCAAAUGCUUUCUCUGCAUCAAUUGAUAUAAUCAUAGGUUUCUUCUCUUUAAGUUUAUUGAUGUGAUGAAUUACAUUUAUUGAUUUCUGUAUGUCAAACCAACCUUGCAUCCCUGGAAUACACAAUUUGAUCAUGGUGCAUUGUUUUUUUUCAUAGGUUUUUGUAUGUGAUUUGUCAGAAUUUUAUUGAGAAUUUUUGCAUCUAUGUUCAUCAGGUAGAUAUGGGUCUGAAAUUUUCUUUCCUUGAUGUGUCUCUUGCUGGUUUGGGUAUCAGGGUGAUACUAGCUUCACAGAAUGAGGUUGGAAGGGUUUCCUGCUAUCCUAUUUCAUGGAAUAAUUUGAAGCCCUUCAAGAUAUGAAUAGUUAAAAAAACUGUGGUAUAUAUACACAAUGGACUAUUACUCAGCAUUACAAGAGAAUAAAACAAUGGCAUUUAUAUGUAAAUGGAUGGAGUUGGUUAAUAUCAUGAAGUAAGCCAAUCCCCCAAAAUCAAAGGCCAAAAUUCUCUCUGAUAAAUAAAUGUUGAUACAUAAUUGUGUCUCUGGGGAUAGAGGAACAUUGAUUGGGCUCAGGAGAGGGAAGGAAGAGGAGGGUAUGGGGUAGGAAAGAGUGUGGAAUGAGACAAACAGCAUUACCCUAAGUACAUAUAUGACGGCACAUGUGGUAUGACUCCACAUCAUGUAGAGAGAAAUGAAAAUUUGUGCUCCAUUUGUGUACAAUGGAUUGAAAGGCAUUCUGAUGUCAUGUAUAACUGAUUUGAACUAAUAAUUUUUUUAAAAAAAUUUUAUUGUAUUUAUUUAUUUGUAUGUGGGGGUGAGGUUCAAACCCAGGGCCUUGCACAUGCUCUACUGCUGAGCCACAAUUCCAGCCACAAUAAAUAAAUUUAAAAAAUAAAAAUAAAAAGGAGAUCUUAAUUGCUGUCAGAAAGGUCUAGCAGGCAAAUCUGAAUAUGUGAAAUUCCUGAUUCCAAGUUCUUUAGUGGGUAUAGAAACAACAUGGUCAAUUCAUCUGCCAGGUACAUAAGAUUUUUUAUCAAGUCUCUAGGAAGGGUAGCACAGUUCCUGCUACUACUUGCUAUAUUGUAGCCUAAUGAAAUCAAAUUUUCUAAAUGCAAAAUGCUUUCUUGUGUCUCCAUGUCUGUUUCUCUCUGCCUCAUAUGCUCUUCUGUACAUUCACUACCAAAUCACCACUCAGUUCUUAAAAUCAGACACAAGGCCUUUUGCCACUUCUGCAUGAUUCCUACCCCCAAAACUUCCUCUGCAUGCCUACAAGCUGUGCACAGCUACUAGAAAAAGCAUGAUGGUGAACUGUGGUUAUAUACAGGUCUAUACCCCAAGAGGAUAAGCCCACAAAUAGCAGAAACCCUGUGUUUCCAUCCUAGUUUCCCCAGCCAGAGCCUGGCACACAGGAAGCAUCUGAGGGAACCAUGUUUGCUGCAUGAACAUGUAUUCAAAGUCUCCCUCCCAACACAUAAUAAAGACAUCCUAAAAAUCAUUUUGAACAUCAUAACACAACAAUAUAAAUGUACUGAAUACUAUUGCCCUGUUCAAUUAAAAAUGGCUAAGAUGGUAUAAAAAUUCUUACCUUUUAAGAUGGAUGAUAAGGUAAUGUAGAGUGUUAAAAUUGGACGGUGGCAAUUGUCUUAGAAGAUCCUUGGUUUUGAGAAGAAUUUGGUUGAUUUCCAUACACAUAUUUGGAGAUGUGUUGUCUUCAGAGUUGUCCCUUUUGGUGUCCUGUUCUUGGUUAAUAUGUUGGAUGACAUUUGCAAGCUCCAUAAAUUCCUGGUACCAUUGGAAUAAAACCAAUGGUUCUGGUAGCUAAAGAAACAAAAUUAUAUUAAAAAUACCUUUGGGCUGAGGUUGUGGCUCAGAGGUAGAGUGUUUGCCUAGCACAUGCAGGGACCUGGGUUUGAUCCUCAGCACCACAUAAAAAUUAAUAAAUAAAAUAAAGGUAUUGCAUCCCGCUACAACCAAAAAAUAAAUAUUUUGAAAAAAUCUUCUGCCUGUUUUCUUUGUUAAAGUCAACUAUAAGUGAGAGUUACUCAAUUAAUUCAGCAUGUCCCUUUAGAUUAACAAAAUAUAAAGUCAAUCUGUAUUUAUUGAUAUCUUUUUCAGUACUGGAGAUUGAACCUAGG